rnacentral:rRNA from 1 species
AAAGGGCGCGUAGGCGGUUGGUACAGUCAGAUGUGAAAUUCCUGGGCUUAACCUGGGGGCUGCAUUUGAUACGUGCUGGCUUGAGUGUGGAAGAGGGUCGUGGAAUUCCCAGUGUAGAGGUGAAAUUCGUAGAUAUUGGGAAGAACACCGGUGGCGAAGGCGGCGACCUGGUCCAUUACUGACGCUGAGGCGCGAAAGCGUGGGGAGCAAACAGGAUUAGAUACCCCUGU